UUUCUGAAACCUGUUCAUAAUCU
rnacentral:snRNA from 1 species